GGGCCCGUCGUCUAGCCUGGUUAGGACGCCGCCCUCACACGGCGGAGAUCCGGGGUUCAAAUCCCCGCGGGCCCACCA
rnacentral:tRNA from 1 species